UACGUAGGGCGCAAGCGUUGUCCGGAAUUAUUGGGCGUAAAGAGCUCGUAGGCGGCCAGUUGCGUCUGCUGUGAAAUCCCGGGGCUCAACCCCGGGCGUGCAGUGGAUACGGGCUGGCUAGAGGCAGGCAGGGGAGAACGGAAUUCCCGGUGUAGCGGUGAAAUGCGCAGAUAUCAGGAGGAACACCGGUGGCGAAGGCGGUUCUCUGGGCCUUACCUGACACUGAGGAGCGAAAGCGUGGGGAGCGAACAGG
rnacentral:rRNA from 1 species